UACAGGGGGGGCAAGCGUUGUUCGGAAUUACUGAGCGUAAAGGGCUCGUAGGCGGCCAACUAAGUCCGACGUGAAAUCCCAAAGCUUAACUUUGGAACUGCGUCGGAUACUGGAUGGCUUGAAUUCGGGAGAGGGAUGCAGAAUUCCAGGUGUAGCGGUGAAAUGCGUAGAUAUCUGGAGGAAUACCGGUGGCGAAGGCGGCAUCCUGGACCGACAUUGACGCUGAGGAGCGAAAGCUAGGGGAGCAAACGGG
rnacentral:rRNA from 1 species